AAUGCCUUUGUAGGGAAGCAAACUCUUUUCCUCCGAUCCUGCAGCCUUCCUCAUCCCUCUUCCUCGAUCCUCCCUCCACCACCAGCCGCUGCUACCGCUCCUCCAUGGCUCAACCCCUCCUCUUCGUCCGAUGGAGGUGACCGACUUUGCUCGGUCUCGAGCUGCUCGUUCUCUCCUCUCCCCCGACGACCAGUGCAGGGGAGAGAAGAUGAGAGAGGAGGGAGAGAGAAGGAAGGAGAGGAGGGAUAAAGAGAUAGGAAAGAGAAAAGGGAGGUACGACGGCGGACGGGGUAGGUUCACCGGUCGGCGCCGGCAAGGUCGGGCGUGGUCUCGGGGUCGGUGGUGGCUUGAUCCGCUCUUGGAUCGGGGGCCUCCCGUCCGCGCCGCAGCGUCGCUGGCAUGGAGGCCCGGGCUCGGGCAGCCACUGUCGUGUCGGGCGUGCUGGUGAGGUCUCUAGGGACACCAUGGCCCCAAUGUAAACGGCAACGCGGCCGCCCCAGAGGAAGUCAAAGACGAAGGAUCACUGGCAGUUUGAUCGAGUUCAUCUUCAUCCUACAGGUGGAUCCAACAAGUUUGACAGCUGGAGACACAGAAGAAGGGAGGCAGGUGGAGCAGUUGAUGGAACAGGAAGAGGACAUCAUGGAUCUACCUAGCUGAGGAUGGCAUGCUGGCACAACAACAUGGUCCUAUUGGGGAUGGUGAAGAAACAAACCCCACUGUCAGUUCUCCAAACCCUACUGGGGAUGAUGCGCCUCCUGCUCUCGUCCUCUGUUCGUCCGUCCACCUCGCUCCAGCCGCCGCCUCUCGUCCUCGGUUCGUCGUUCCGCCUCUCUCCACCCGUCGUUGCACUGCUUCUGUAGACCACCAUGAAGGUGGUUGUUGGUUGAGUGUGAGAGCUGUAGUUCUUCGUCGAUCGCUGAUCUUGUUCGUCAAUGAAUUCUGCGGCUGUCAUCGUCACCAAGAAAUCGCACUAAUUGGUUCGUCGUCAGAUUUGCCUUGCUGUUUCUUCUGCUCAAACGAUCAUCUUUGUGUUGAGGAAUUGGCGUCAUCAAUUGAUACUCGAGUUUACCUUGUUAUUUGAUCUGGGCAUAUCGACUCUGCGGUAAGAUUCCCAUGAACGGAGGUCUUAGGAGACAACUACGCCGAGUUAGCCAUCAUUUCAUUCAUUUACUACACGCCUAUCGGAGUUAACCAGAAAGCGGAAAUCCUGAUCCACGGAUCAUAACGGAACUAAACGAACCCGUUCCGCUGCUCCGCUGACAUGGCCCACUGCCCAGGUGCCUUGAAUUCUGUACCCGGAUCAUUGUCCUCUGGUGCAAAUGGUGCAUUUAUGGGUUAACUAUACUGAAGAGAACCUGCUCGACUACAUUGAUCCAAACAAUGAUACACUCAUGGUCAGACUUGCAGACGACCAUCUGCUCGCCGAAUGUCGCAUCAUGCUAGGAACUGACAAGAGGGCCACUACAACCACCAACAUUCGUGAAGGAGACAUCUGUGCAUUUCGUUUCAGGAUCACUUCAAAGGGCCGCCUGGUUCUCACCGUGCACUGCCUCUAGAUGCACCAUCGAAGACGCUGCAGCCCAUGUGUGACUGUGUCAAUAUAAUAUAAUAUAAUCCUAUGAUAACCUAUGGUUCGCUUUUGGGCAUCAUGGUUGUCACUAUUCUUUAUAGUAUAUAUUUCUAUUUCUCAUAUUAAAUUUUUGUUAACUAAAGCAAUCAUCCCAAACGCUAACUAGAAUA